rnacentral:rRNA from 1 species
AUUGAACGCUGGCGGCAGGCCUAACACAUGCAAGUCGAGCGGAGCGGCGGACGGGAGAGUAAUGCCUAGGAAUCGGCAUGGUAGUGGGGGAUAACGUCCGGAAACGGGCGCUAAUACCGCAUACUAUCAGAUGAGUCUAGGUCGGAUUAGCUAGUGGGUGGGGUAAAGGCCUACCAAGGCGACGAUCAGGAACUGGUCUGAGAGAAUGAUCAGUCACACGGGAACUGAGACACGGGCCAGACUCCUACGGGAGGCAGCAGUGGGGAAUAUUGGACAAUGGGCGAAAGCCUGAUCCAGCCAUGCCGCGUGUGUGAAGAAGGUCUUCGGAUGGUAAAGCACUUUAAGUUGGGAGGCGUUACCAACAGAAUAAGCACCGGCUAACUUCGUGCCAGCAGCCGCGGUAAUUC